AGUGAACGCUGGCGGUAGGCCUAACACAUGCAAGUCGAACGGCAGCACAGUAAGAGCUUGCUCUUACGGGUGGCGAGUGGCGGACGGGUGAGGAAUACAUCGGAAUCUACUUUUUCGUGGGGGAUAACGUAGGGAAACUUACGCUAAUACCGCAUACGACCUACGGGUGAAAGCAGGGGAUCUUCGGACCUUGCGCGAUUGAAUGAGCCGAUGUCGGAUUAGCUAGUUGGCGGGGUAAAGGCCCACCAAGGCGACGAUCCGUAGCUGGUCUGAGAGGAUGAUCAGCCACACUGGAACUGAGACACGGUCCAGACUCCUACGGGAGGCAGCAGUAGGGAAUAUUGGGCAAUGGGCGGAAGCCUGAUCCAGCCAUACCGCGUGGGUGAAGAAGGGCUUCGGGUUGUAAAACCCUUUUGUUGGGGAAGAAAAACAGCAGGUUUAUACCCCGGUGUUUUGACGGUACCCAAAGAAAAAGCACCGGCUAACUUCGUG
rnacentral:rRNA from 1 species